CUUCUUUUUCACCGGAGCUUGCUCCACCGGAAAAAGAGGAGUGGCGAACGGGUGAGUAACACGUGGGUAACCUGCCCAUCAGAAGGGGAUAACACUUGGAAACAGGUGCUAAUACCGUAUAACAAUCGAAACCGCAUGGUUUUGAUUUGAAAGGCGCUUUCGGGUGUCGCUGAUGGAUGGACCCGCGGUGCAUUAGCUAGUUGGUGAGGUAACGGCUCACCAAGGCCACGAUGCAUAGCCGACCUGAGAGGGUGAUCGGCCACAUUGGGACUGAGACACGGCCCAAACUCCUACGGGAGGCAGCAGUAGGGAAUCUUCGGCAAUGGACGAAAGUCUGACCGAGCAACGCCGCGUGAGUGAAGAAGGUUUUCGGAUCGUAAAACUCUGUUGUUAGAGAAGAACAAGGAUGAGAGUAACUGUUCAUCCCUUGACGGUAUCUAACCAGAAAGCCACGGCUAACUACGUGCCAGCAGCCGCGGUAAUACGUAGGUGGCAAGCGUUGUCCGGAUUUAUUGGGCGUAAAGCGAGCGCAGGCGGUUUCUUAAGUCUGAUGUGAAAGCCCCCGGCUCAACCGGGGAGGGUCAUUGGAAACUGGGAGACUUGAGUGCAGAAGAGGAGAGUGGAAUUCCAUGUGUAGCGGUGAAAUGCGUAGAUAUAUGGAGGAACCCAGUGGCGAGGCGGCUCUCUGGUCUGUACUGACGCUGAGCUCGAAGCG
rnacentral:rRNA from 1 species